rnacentral:rRNA from 1 species
AGUGAACGCUGGCGGUAUGCCUAACACAUGCAAGUCGAACGGCAGCACAGUAAGAGCUUGCUCUUACGGGUGGCGAGUGGCGGACGGGUGAGGAAUACAUCGGAAUCUACUUUUUCGUGGGGGAUAACGUAGGGAAACUUACGCUAAUACCGCAUACGACCUACGGGUGAAAGCAGGGGAUCUUCGGACCUUUUGCGAUUGUAUGAGCCGAUGUCGGAUUAGCUAGUUGGGGGGGUAAAGGCCCACCAAGGCGACGAUCCGUAGCUGGUCUGAGAGGAUGAUCAGCCACACUGGAACUGAGACACGGUCCAGACUCCUACGGGAGGCAGCAGUGGGGAAUAUUGGACAAAGGGCGCAAGCCUGAUCCAGCAAUACCGCGUGGGUGAAGAAGGCGUUCGGGUGGUAAAGCCCUUUUGUUGGGAAAGAAAAGCAGCAGGUUAAUACCCCGCUGUUCUGACGGUACCCAAAGAAUAAGCACCGGCUAACUUCGUG